rnacentral:rRNA from 1 species
GAUGAACGCUGGCGGCGUGCCUAACACAUGCAAGUCGAGCGAACGGACGAGACGCUUGCUUCUCUCAUGUUAGCGGCGCACGUGUGAGUCACACGUGUAUACCCUCCCUAUCAGACUGGUAUAACUUCGGGAAACCGGAGCUAAUCCCGUAUAAUAUUUUGAACCGCAUGGUUCAAUAGUGAAAUACGGCCUUGCUGUCACUUAUAGCUGGAUCUGCGCUGCAUUAGCUAGUUGUUAAGGUAACGGCUUACCAAGGCAACGAUGCAUAGCCGACCUGGGAGGGGGGUCGGCCACACGGGAAGUGAGACGCGGUCAAGACUACUACGGGAGGCAGCAGUAGGGAAUCUUACGCAGUAGGCGGAAGCCUGACGGAGCAAGGCGGCGUGAGUGAUGAAGGUGUUCGGAUCGUAAAAAUCUGUUAUGAGGGAAGAACAUAUGUGUAAGGAACUGUGCACAGCGUGACGGUAACUAAUAAGAAAGCAACGGCUAACUACGUG